AAGAACUCUCUCUCUCUCAACUCUCUCCACUAAAAGCUUGAAACCCUAACUCCGGUCCGGCGCUCGCCGGUACCGGAGGUCGUCCUUCUCAACCCUUUCUCCUUUUCCUUUUGCUUUUCCUUUCUUCUGUUUGACUUCUCCAUGGCCGAUAUGCAUGUUGUUCUGAGUCUGUCGGUGCUGCGUCGAGUUUCAAUCGAACAAAGACGGGUUCAAUCGGCGUUUUUUGGAAGAACGGCGAGGCUACGGAGCAACAGAGGUGGAAAGGUCGGCUUUUAGGGCUGGAUUGAGAACCAGAUCUGGGUUUUCCUUUUUCCAGAUCUAGGGCUUCUCUUCCUCGGCGGCGGCGCGUGACUCAGUGGGGAGCAUCUUCCGCCUCGUGCGACGGUGAGAGGCCGGAGGAUCGACGUGACGGCAGCUGAAGAUGGUCAUGUUUCUCGGUUCUCGGGAACAGCGUGACGCAGAGCCUUGUUUUGUCAGAGUGGUCAGCUGAUGAAGCGAGUUCUGUAGCUGGUUCGCGGUGAGGCUCAGCUUCCCAGUGUCGGCGGCGGUUCCUCCACCUUGUCGACAGCGGAGCCCACACCAUUGGAAGCUUGAAUACUGUACCAGUUUCGAUGCUUCCGCCAAGGCCCGACUUUUAUUUUCCCCAGCACGGAUUGUUUCCGUUGGCUGGCGAUGGAGUGAGGCAUGGUCGCUGGUGAAGCUACUCCGGUCAAGAAUGCAUCGCUUCGGUGUUGAGGUGUUGGUCCAAGUACUGAACUCAUAUCCCUUGGUGACUGGCACUUGGUUUUAUUAGGUUAAUCUUGAUUAGGAAUAGCUAAUAUCCGGGCUUAUGUUUUUCACUGGUGUGGUAGAAUGUUAGGGGUUGAAGAGACAGCUCUUUGUCUGUGACAGAGCUUGUUCUCACUGGGUUUAAUUACAUCAAAGUAUAAAAUUCGGUAGUCUAUGAUCCAAUCUAGUGAUCUUUUGAUGGUACUGAAUCACUUUGUAUGUAAAAGUGGUUGCGGUUCUCGGGAACAGCGUGACGCAGAGCCUUGUUUUGUCAGAGUGGUCAGCUGAUGAAGCGAGUUCUGUAGCUGGUUCGCGGUGAGGCUCAGCUUCCCAGUGUCGGCGGCGGUUCCUCCACCUUGUCGACAGCGGAGCCCACACCAUUGGAAGCUUGAAGACUGUACCAGUUUCGAUGCUUCCGCCAAGGCCCGACUUUUAUUUUCCCCAGCACGGAUUGUUUCCGUUGGCUGGCGAUGGAGUGAGGCAUGGUCGCUGGUGAAGCUACUCCGGUCAAGAAUGCAUCGCUUCGGUGUUGAGGUGUUGGUCCAAGUACUGAACUCAUAUCUCUUGGUGACUGGCACUUGGUUUUAUUAGGUUAAUCUUGAUUAGGAAUAGCUAAUAUCCGGGCUUAUGUUUUUCACUGGUGUGGUAGAAUGUUAGGGGUUGAAGAGACAGCUCUUUGUCUGUGACAGAGCUUGUUCUCACUGGGUUUAAUUACAUCAAAGUAUAAAAUUCGGUAGUCUAUGAUCCAAUCUAGUGAUCUUUUGAUGGUACUGAAUCACUUUGUAUGUAAAAGUGGUUGAAAUCCUUGUGGUUAAAAAUCAUGUAAUCCCCCAAUUGGUAAAUGAAAAGUUGAUGUUGAGCCAAAAAAAAAAAAAAAAGAGGAUGAAGUCAAUCGUAUUGUCUGCAAAUAUGUAUCUAAUUCACUGAAACAAAUACAAAUCAAUCAUAAACAUAGGUCUACGUAGUUGACAGGCC
rnacentral:lncRNA from 1 species